AAAGGAAAUCUUGACAGAAGUACCAAUAGCCAGUAUAAAUACAGAGAACAUUCACGUUCAACUGAUUACCGAGGAGAUGUAAAUUAAAAUAGCUGGCUGUAAUUUUCCAGAGAUGGGCUCAAGUGAUCCUCCCGCUUCAGACCCUCAGUGGCUGGUACUACAGAUGUGAACCAGCUGUACUUUCAGGUAAGAAUGGUGCUCCAUGAGUCAAGCGAUUACUUCAGCUCACAACUCAAUCACUUAAGGUUUUUUCCUCGAGAAAGUCAUCAUACUUUGAUAUGCAGCAUAACU